rnacentral:lncRNA from 1 species
GGGUGCAAAUGGGUCAGAUCAGACUAAAUCAUGAGUGAUCCAGAUUUGAUCUGAUUUCUUGAUCGAAUCUAAAUAUUGGAUUCAAACCCAGUCCAACAGAAAAUCGGAUCGGGUCGGAUCCAUAAUCAAAUUUUUUGACCCAACGGAUCAUUCGGAUCGGAUUAGAUUUAUGUAUAACCUAGUCCCAAUCCAUAAAAUACAGAUCCAGUUCAGAUUUGGAUCUAGAUCAAUUUAGGUCUGAGCUAUGAAGAACAAGAUCCGUAAGUAGAAGAUUUAUAAACAAAUUUUAUUUGUAUUACAAAUUUUAAUCUUGAUAUAUGAGACUAUUAGAGCCC